UUACCCCACCUUACUAAAUGUGACGGGUCGCGUAGUCGUACGUCACAUGUAGGUAUAAUUAAUGACACCGGGCAGCGCGGAAAACCAACAGCAAACGCAGCAGUUAUCCACAAUAUACCGAGAAACACUGAAUUUUACUUCCGCGUUCACUUUGUCGUAACAGGCUUGGUUAGGUUUCGAGUGGAGAACUGAUAUAUGUGAUAGAAUGCGGUGCAUAAAUAAGAGAAGUUGAUGUAGUACUUCAGAGUGAUGUAACAUCGGUUUUGAUGAAGAGAAGUUACUAAAAACGCCGCGACAGAGCAAAUAGAGAUAAUCGCUUACAGCGGUUCUCACGCAUGAAUACUUCUAGCGUUAAUUUGUAAAACGAAUUGACCAUAGCGCUUGAAUCAACAAAAGACGAAUCAACGCGACAAACAAAAGUCGUAGGUGGUUUUAUUAACAGAUUCCAUCGCACAUUUGCGCUGAAACGGCCAAUACAAAAGGCUAAGUCGACGGUUCUUCCGCGAAGGCUGAAACUUGAACGCAAGUGAAGGUCGCUUAGUAUUGUUAAACAGACGGAAAAGGAGAAAAGUGAAAGAUGAGAUCGGUUAAAGUGGCGUAAGUGUCCACGGUUAAAAAUGAGUUAACAUUCUUGCAAGGGUAAACGUAAGCAGAAUAAUAACUGCAGUUGAAGCCUUUGAUUGGUAGGUGCAGGAUUAUAAGCAGCUACGCUUGACUCGCAUGGGCAAGCAUGUAAAACCGUUGUGGUUUGAAGAGGUUCUGUAUAUAAUUGUCAAGUUAUGUGAUGCGUCGAACAGACACGCACGUUGCCGAGAUAUGCUAGUUUACUUGGUAGUAUAGAAUAGGCGUCCUGUGGUGUACAGGUAUUCCAUCAUUUCCGCGUAUUGUAGCUGCAAAUUAUGACGUGUAUGUAUAUAGCUGCUUAAACAGUGACUAAUCGCAAGUGUGCAUUGAAACAGAGUAUAGCCAUGAGUAAGAUAAGCUUUGGAUAUUGGGAUAUUCGUGGUAGAGGGCAAUCUAUUCGGCUCAUGCUUGAAUAUCUGGCAUUAGAUUAUGAAGAAGUUCGUUAUCCUCGUGGCGACGCACCUGAGUUCGACUGUAGCGAAUGGCUUGCAGCAAAACCGAACUUGAACCUGGAGUUUCCAAAUGUGCCAUACCUAGUUGACGGUGAAGUGCGGAUAACAGAAAGCUGGGCGAUUAUGAAGCACCUUGGGUAUAAAGGUAACCUUAUGCCAGAGACAGUGGCGCAGCGAAUCAGAUGCGAUAUGGCAGAAGGUGUAUUGGAGGAUUUUCGUGUACGGUUUGCUCGCUUGUGCUACAACCCGAAUUUUGAAAAUCUCAUCGAAGAAUAUUUGACGUUCAUGAAUACAAAGUUGGUUUAUUUUGAUGGUUUCUUGAAGGAGGCGAAAUGGUUGUCUGGGCAGAAACUCACUUAUGUAGAUUUUCUGUUUUGCGAGGUUUUGGAUCAAAUUAGACUUUGCUUUCCAGGAUGUUUGAAACCAUAUGAUAACGUAACGUCAUAUCUAGAGCGGUUUGACUCACUGGAAGGCAUCGUUGCAUACAGGACAUCAGAUCGUUACCGAAAGUUCCCAAUAAACAGCAAGAUUGCUGCAUGGCGGGGAAUGGAAGAGCGGAAAGUGUAGAAGAGAAUGCAGUUUAUAGAUAAACCGCAGUUGUAACUUCAUCCCCGCUUUAGAAGUUGAAACUGAAUGAUGACACCACACUUGUUAAGCAAUACGUUGUUUACUUUUCGUGCACGUAUAUGUAUAUAUUUAUAGUAGGGGGGGUUGGACAUAUGCUCAUUCUAUGUUUCGCCCCAUGUAGUAGUAAACAAAGAAAAUUCAAAGGUUUAUAAAACCCAUAUUCCCGCGACUCCAAAUGUUAUUUGUUUAAAACACGACCAGGGUAUUUGGAUAUUAUGUGAUAAAGAUGUUCCAUCUUCCUCCAACCAACUAAAUGUGUUUAUUCUUAACAAGUAUAGUUUUUAAUGUAUUUUUAUUUAUAUCUAGUUUGAUUUACGUUUAUCAGCAAAAAUAAACUCCGAUCGAAAACAAGUUACCCUUGUAUACACAAUACCCCAGCUACCCCGGGUUAAAACCACAGUUCCGCCGGCUUCGAGCGCAUGAUCUCCCGCCGGUUUACCCUGAUCUUCGAUGGGCACACAGUCACGCAGGGUAUUACUAUAUCAAAUUACCAAAUUUAGUGAUUUGACAGACA